AUCCAGACAAGUUCUGCUCAAAGGAAUAAGCAGUCAUGCCUUGGAAGAAAUACUACAUUAUGGUAGAAUGGUGAGGAUUUAUAAUUAUUUUUGCUUGCCCAGCAGUUAACUUCAGUCUCGAUUUUUGUAUCUCAAGCAUACAAAAGCAGCAGAAGAUGCUGUUUCUGUGCUAUCAAAAUGCACAGAACACAUUUGCAGAAAUGUAGGGAGAGUAGAAAUAGGGCAUCCCAGUGAGAACAUUGGUUAGCUGGUCCUGGCAUAGAUGGGCUGCUUCAGGAUGGGAGCUGACUUUACGUUCAUUCUGAAAUGUUUAAUGUCAGUGCUAGCACUGCUAACAGAGAAGCUCAGUUCCAGUAGCUUUGGCACUAUAUUUUUGUGAUGUGAAACUGCCUACGACCACAAGACCAUUUUGUAGAGAGCACUGUAUUGCCUCUGAUAGUAAGAAAUUUUAGACCAUAUGAACGGGUCAUAUUUAAACCAUUGGCCUAUAGUAAAAAUAUUUUACAGUUCACCACUGGUUCUUUGAACUAUCCAUCCCUUGAACCACUUUUAAGAAGUUAUAAAAGGCAGUUCACAGUUUAUUCCUGCUGGGGAACGCUUAUAUCAACCUCUGAACUUCCUUGUUUCUGGACUGAGAAAAAUGGGUGCACUGUUUCUUCUCAUAAACAAGUUGUUCCCAUGUUCUGUGGGAAUGUUUAUAUCAAAGAACACUCCAUGUGCAGGUGGUGAUCUGAAAGAGUAAAAUACUUCCCAUUGCACCAUAACUGACCUUUCACAUGUUAGCUACACCCAGCUUCAAGCUGGGAGUUCUGUAUCUUCAGUUGAAUGAUAUUUCUAGCAGUCUGAAGAGGGAACCUCAGCAUUUGAAAAAAAAAUCUACCUCAUCACUGGUCUGCUCCAACACUGGCAAUCUUAAACACUCAGAAGAGUCCCUGAUGACCUGGCUUUCUCAUUGUGGCUUCAGUGCAAUAGAAGAAUGUACUCUCUUGUGAAUCACUGGCCAUGGGACCUCACUCCUUAGAGACAUCUGUCCACUGAGACCUCACUUUACUGUUGCAGUGACUAAGUAGGAAAUAGGAACCUCAAGAACUGGAUUUUGCCUGAUUUGAUCCAUAAUUUUCUCCAACAGUACCAUAGGAGCAGUCUUUCUCCCUCCAUAAUCUGAUGGUCAAGAUCCUUAGUCUCACUGAAGCAUACCUGAGUGGGGAAAGAGAAACCCCAUGGUAAUAAUCUCUGGCAUGCUUAUUUCCUUGGGGAUGUUGUUUUCACCAAAGGAGGGCACUGUAAUUAAGACUAGAAGUUAUGUUUUGGGAGAGAAGAGAGUCUGGAAAAGACAGAGAAGAGAGGAGAAUCAGAGAAGUGACAGAGAUGGAGGAACGGAUGUUAGCAAGCAAUUGGAUGAAAAGCAUGAGGGAGGCAAAGUGAACGAUCUUAUCACUGCUGGAAUAAAUGCCUUCCACAACCCACAAUGGUACUUCACAUUCUUUUAAUGUCUAGUAAGUGUCUGUAAUAUGUACAGGAAAUGGAGAGUUAUUUCGCCUGCGGAGACUGGGGCACAUACAAAGAACAGAUGUCUGAUCAUCCUAUGUGAUUUUUCC
ensembl:lncRNA